rnacentral:rRNA from 1 species
AUUGAACGCUGGCGGCAGGCUUAACACAUGCAAGUCGAGCGGGGUGAUGGUGCUUGCACUAUCACUUAGCGGCGGACGGGUGAGUAAUGCUUAGGAAUCUGCCUAUUAGUGGGGACAACAUCUCGAAAGGGAUGCUAAUACCGCAUACGUCCUACGGGAGAAAGCAGGGGAUCACUUGUGACCUUGCGCUAAUAGAUGAGCCUAAGUCGGAUUAGCUAGUUGGUGGGGUAAAGGCCUACCAAGGCGACGAUCUGUAGCGGGUCUGAGAGGAUGAUCCGCCACACUGGGACUGAGACACGGCCCAGACUCCUACGGGAGGCAGCAGUGGGGAAUAUUGGACAAUGGGGGCAACCCUGAUCCAGCGAUGCCGCGUGAGUGAAGAAGGCCUUCGGGUCGUAAAGCUCUUUAGGUUGGGAAGAAGGGUAUUGGCUGAAUAAUCCAGUACUUUGACGGUACCGACAGAAUAAGCACCGGCAAACUCUGUGCCAGCCGCCGCGGUAAUAC